rnacentral:rRNA from 1 species
GACGAACGCUGGCGGCGUGCUUAACACAUGCAAGUCGAACGGAAAGGCCCUGCUUUUGUGGGGUGCUCGAGUGGCGAACGGGUGAGUAACACGGGAGUAACCUGCGCUUGACUUUGGGAUAACUUCAGGAAACUGGGGCUAAUACCGGAUAGGAGCUGCUGCUGCAUGGUGGGGGUUGGAAAGUUUCGGCGGUUGGGGAUGGACUCGCGGCUUAUCAGCUUGUUGGGGGGGUAGUGGCUUACCAAGGCUUUGACGGGUAGCCCGCCUGAGAGGGUGACCGGGCACAUUGCUACUGAGAUACGCCCCAGUCUCCUACGGGGGGCAGUAGUGGGGAAUAUUACCCAAUCGGCCGAAGCCUGAUGCGGAAAUGCCGCGUGCGGGAUGCCCGCCUUCGGGUUGGAAACCGCUUUAGCCUGUGACGAAGCGUGAGUGACGGUAAUGGGUAAAGAAGCACCGGCUAACUACGUG